GGUACCAUAGUGUAGCAGUUAGCACGUCUGCUUCAUAAGCAGAAGGUCCUGGGUCCCCACCCCAGUGGAGCCA
rnacentral:tRNA from 1 species